rnacentral:rRNA from 1 species
GGAGAACGCUAGCUACAGGCUUAACACAUGCAAGUCGAGGGGCAGCAUUUUAGUUUGCUUGCAAACUGAAGAAGGCGACCGGCGCACGGGUGAGUAACACGUAUCCAACCUGCCGAUAACUCCGGGAUAGCCUUUCGAAAGAAAGAUUAAUACCGGAUAGUAUACGAAUAUCGCAUGAUAUUUUUAUUAAAGAAUUUCGGUUAUCGAUGGGGAUGCGUUCCAUUAGUUUGUUGGCGGGGUAACGGCCCACCAAGACUACGAUGGAUAGGGGUUCUGAGAGGAAGGUCCCCCACAUUGGAACUGAGACACGGUCCAAACUCCUACGGGAGGCAGCAGUGAGGAAUAUUGGUCAAUGGGCGCGAGCCUGAACCAGCCAAGUAGCGUGAAGGAUGAAGGCUCUAUGGGUCGUAAACUUCUUUUAUAUGGGAAUAAAGUUUUCCACGUGUGGAAUUUUGUAUGUACCAUAUGAAUAAGGAUCGGCUAACUCCGUGCCAGCAGCCGCGGUAAUACGGAGGAUCCGAGCGUUAUCCGGAUUUAUUGGGUUUAAAGGGAGCGUAGGUGGAUUGUUAAGUCAGUUGUGAAAGUUUGCGGCUCAACCGUAAAAUUGCAGUUGAAACUGGCAGUCUUGAGUACAGUAGAGGUGGGCGGAAUUCGUGGUGUAGCGGUGAAAUGCUUAGAUAUCACGAAGAACUCCGAUUGCGAAGGCAGCUCACUAGACUGUCACUGACACUGAUGCUCGAAAGUGUGGGUAUCAAACAGGAUUAGAUACCCUGGUAGUCCACACAGUAAACGAUGAAUACUCGCUGUUUGCGAUAUACAGUAAGCGGCCAAGCGAAAGCAUUAAGUAUUCCACCUGGGGAGUACGCCGGCAACGGUGAAACUCAAAGGAAUUGACGGGGGCCCGCACAAGCGGAGGAACAUGUGGUUUAAUUCGAUGAUACGCGAGGAACCUUACCCGGGCUUAAAUUGCAACAGAAUAUAUUGGAAACAGUAUAGCCGUAAGGCUGUUGUGAAGGUGCUGCAUGGUUGUCGUCAGCUCGUGCCGUGAGGUGUCGGCUUAAGUGCCAUAACGAGCGCAACCCUUAUCUUUAGUUACUAACAGGUUAUGCUGAGGACUCUAGAGAGACUGCCGUCGUAAGAUGUGAGGAAGGUGGGGAUGACGUCAAAUCAGCACGGCCCUUACGUCCGGGGCUACACACGUGUUACAAUGGGGGGUACAGAAGGCGGCUACCUGGUGACAGGAUGCUAAUCCCAAAAACCUCUCUCAGUUCGGAUCGAAGUCUGCAACCCGACUUCGUGAAGCUGGAUUCGCUAGUAAUCGCGCAUCAGCCAUGGCGCGGUGAAUACGUUCCCGGGCCU